UACGGAGGGUGCAAGCGUUAUCCGGAUUUAUUGGGUUUAAAGGGUCCGUAGGCGGACCCGUAAGUCAGUGGUGAAAUCUCAUAGCUCAACUAUGAAACUGCCAUUGAUACUGCGGGUCUUGAGUAAAUUUGAAGUGGCUGGAAUAAGUAGUGUAGCGGUGAAAUGCAUAGAUAUUACUUAGAACACCAAUUGCGAAGGCA
rnacentral:rRNA from 1 species